CGCGGCCUAUCAGCUUGUUGGCGGGGUAAUGGCCCACCAAGGCGUCGACGGGUAGCUGGUCUGAGAGGAUGAUCAGCCACACUGGGACUGAGACACGGCCCAGACUCCUACGGGAGGCAGCAGUGGGGAAUCUUGCGCAAUGGGCGAAAGCCUGACGCAGCAACGCCGCGUGCGGGAUGAAGGCCUUCGGGCUGUAAACCGCUUUCAGCAGGAACGAACAUGACGGUACCUGCAGAAGAAGGAGCGGCCAACUACGUGCCAGCAGCCGCGGUGACACGUAGGCUCCAAGCGUUGUCCGGAUUUAUUGGGCGUAAAGAGCUCGUAGGCGGUUUAGUAAGUCGGGUGUGAAAACUCUGGGCUUAACCCAGAGACGCCAUCCGAUACUGCUGUGACUUGAGUUCAGGAGGGGAGCGGGGAAUUCCUAGUGUAGCGGUGAAAUGCGCAGAUAUUAGGAGGAACACCGGUGGCGAAGGCGCCGCUCUGGACUGAAACUGACGCUGAGGAGCGAAAGCAUGGGUAGCAAACAGGAUUAGAUACCCUGGUAGUCCAUGCCGUAAACGGUGGGCACUAGGCGUGGGUUUCAACUAACGAAAUCCGCGCCGUCGCUAACGCAUUAAGUGCCCCGCCUGGGGAGUACGG
rnacentral:rRNA from 1 species